rnacentral:rRNA from 1 species
AGUCGAGCGAGCUUGCCUAGAUGAAUUUGGUGCUUGCACCAGAUGAAACUAGAUACAAGCGAGCGGCGGACGGGUGAGUAACACGUGGGUAACCUGCCCAAGAGACUGGGAUAACACCUGGAAACAGAUGCUAAUACCGGAUAACAACACUAGACGCAUGUCUAGAGUUUAAAAGAUGGUUCUGCUAUCACUCUGGAUGGACCUGCGGUGCAUUAGCUAGUUGGUAAGGUAACGGCUUACCAAGGCAAUGAUGCAUAGCCGAGUUGAGAGACUGAUCGGCCACAUUGGGACUGAGACACGGCCCAAACUCCUACGGGAGGCAGCAGUAGGGAAUCUUCCACAAUGGACGCAAGUCUGAUGGAGCAACGCCGCGUGAGUGAAGAAGGGUUUCGGCUCGUAAAGCUCUGUUGGUAGUGAAGAAAGAUAGAGGUAGUAACUGGCCUUUAUUUGACGGUAAUUACUUAGAAAGUCACGGCUAACUACGUGCCAGCAGCCGCGGUAAUACGUAGGUGGCAAGCGUUGUCCGGAUUUAUUGGGCGUAAAGCGAGUGCAGGCGGUUCAAUAAGUCUGAUGUGAAAGCCUUCGGCUCAACCGGAGAAUUGCAUCAGAAACUGUUGAACUUGAGUGCAGAAGAGGAGAGUGGAACUCCAUGUGUAGCGGUGGAAUGCGUAGAUAUAUGGAAGAACACCAGUGGCGAAGGCGGCUCUCUGGUC